rnacentral:rRNA from 1 species
UACGGGGGGGGGUAAGCGUUGUUCGGAAUUACUGGGCGUAAAGGGCUCGUAGGCGGCCAACUAAGUCAGACGUGAAAUCCCUCAGCUUAACUGGGGAACUGCGUCUGAUACUGGAUGGCUUGGAUUCGGGAGAGGAAUGCGGAAUUCCUGGUGUAGCGGUGAAAUGCGUAGAUAUCAGGAGGAACACCGGUGGUGUAGACGGCUUUCUGGACCGUAACUGACGCUGAAACACGAAAGCGUGGGUAGCAAACAGG